rnacentral:tRNA from 1 species
CUAACAUUCUAAAUUAAACUACUC